rnacentral:rRNA from 1 species
GGUGCAUGGCAGACGGGUGAGUAACGCGUGGGGAAUCUACCUCUUUGUGGGGAAUAACGCUCCGAAAGGAGUGGUAAUACCGCAUGAGAUCCAUGGCUGGGAUGCUGUGGAUGAAACCUGGGGACCGCAAGGCCUGGGGCAAGGAGAGGAUCCUGCGUCUGAUUAGCUAGUUGGUGAGGUAAUGGCCCACCAAGGCGACGAUCAGUAGCCGGCCUGAGAGGGUGAUCGGCCACACUGGAACUGAGACACGGUCCAGACUCCUACGGGAGGCAGCAGUGGGGAAUUUUGCGCAAUGGGCGAAAGCCUGACGCAGCAACGCCGCGUGGGUGAUGAAGGUCUUCGGAUCGUAAAACCCUGUCGUCGGGGACGAAGGUGGAGGGGUUAAUAGCCUCUUUGCUUGACGGUACCCGGAGAGGAAGCCCCGGCUAACUCUGUGCCAGCAGCCGCGGUAAUACAGAGGGGGCAAGCGUUAUUCGGAAUUAUUGGGCGUAAAGGGCGCGUAGGCGGCUUUUUAAGUGAGAUGUGUAAUCCCUGAGCUCAAUUUGGGAACUGCAUCUCAUACUGGGAGGCUAGAGUACUGGAGAGGGUGGUAGAAUUCCACGUGUAGCGGUGAAAUGCGUAGAGAUGUGGAGGAAUACCAGUGGCGAAGGCGGCCACCUGGACAGUAACUGACGCUGAGGCGCGAAAGUGUGGGUAGCAAA